AGUGAACGCUGGCGGUAGGCCUAACACAUGCAAGUCGAACGGCAGCACAGUAAGAGCUUGCUCUUACGGGUGGCGAGUGGCGGACGGGUGAGGAAUACAUCGGCAUCUACUUUUUCGUGGGGGAUAACGUAGGGAAACUUACGCUAAUACCGCAUACGACCUACGGGUGAAAGCAGGGGAUCUUCGGACCUUGCGCGAUUGAAUGAGCCGAUGUCGGAUUAGCUAGUUGGCGGGGUAAAGGCACACCAAGGCGACGAUCCGUAGCUGGUCUGAGAGGAUGAUCAGCCACACUGGAACUGAGACACGGUCCAGACCCCUACGGGAGGCAGCAGUGGGGAAUAUUGGACAAUGGGCGCAAGCCUGAUCCAGCCAUACCGCGUGGGUGAAGAAGGCCUUCGGGUUGUAAAGCUCUUUUGUUGGGAAAGAAAAGCAGCAGGUUAAUACCCCGCUGUUCUGACGGUACCCAAAGAAUAAGCACCGGCUAACUUCGUG
rnacentral:rRNA from 1 species